GGGGCUGUGGUCUAACUUGGCUAUGAUUCAAGGUUCGGGGCCUUGUGAUCCGUGUUCGAAUCACGGCAGUCCCA
rnacentral:tRNA from 1 species